rnacentral:lncRNA from 1 species
CCGGGUUCAAUAAAUUCUCCUGCUUCAGCCUCCCUAGUAGCUGGGAUUACAGGCAUGUGCCACCACGCCCAGCUAAUUUUUGUAUUUUUAGUAGAGACAGGGUUUUACCAUGUUGGUCAGGCUGGCCUCGAGCUCCUGACCUCAGGUGAUCUGCCUGCCUUGGCCUCCCAAAGCACUGGGAUUACAGGUGUGAGCCACCGCGCCUGGCCUCAGAGGGUUUUAAGCAGGAGAGUGAUCAUAUUUUGGGCAGAUCAUUUGAACCCAGGAGUUUGAGGCUGCAGGGAGCGAUGAUUGUGCCACUGCACUCCAGCCUGGGCAACAGAGCGAGACUCUGUCUCCAAAAAAAAAAAAAAAGAACUGGAGGAGGCAAGAGUAGAAGCAGGGGGAUGAGUUACUGCUGUUGUCCAGGCAAGAGAUGAUGGUGACUUGAGCCAGGUGAUGGUGGGUGAAGAUGGAGCAAAGUGGAUGUCUUGGGAACGUAUUUUGAAGGUAGAUCUGGAGGUUUUUGUUGGUUUUGAAUGGGGGAUGGGAGAAAGGGUAGAAUGGCUUACAGAUUUUGAGGGUUUGGCAACCCGGUGGGUGGAUGGUGACUGAUUUGGGGAUGGAAAAGAUGAGGGACAGGACUGAACACGUGUGGCCUCAGGCGUGUGGUUUAGGGCAAGGCAAGUUGAAGAGGCAUGGUGAGUUGGCAGUGAAGUUUUGAAUCUAAGGUUUAGAGGAGAGAUCAGGGCUAGACAUUCAGAUGUGGCAGUCUCAAUCAUUUAGACAAUACUGAAAGUCAAGGAACUGAAGAUGAAUAACUAACACAAGAAUCUAGGCAGAAAAGACCAAGAUUUGGAGCCAGGCAUGGUGGCUCACUUCUGUAAUACUAGCGCUUUGGGAAGCUGAGGUGGGAGGAUUGCUUGAGCCCAGGAGUUUGAUACUAGCCUGGGCAACAUAGUGAGAUGUUUUCUAUAUUAUUAAUGUUUACUUAUUUAUUUAUUUAUAUUUUAUUAUUAUUAUUAUUUUGAGAUGGAGUCUUGAUGUGUUGCCCAGGCUGGAGUGCAGUGGCACGAUCUCGGCUCACUGCAACCUCUGUUCAAAUGAUACUCCUGCCUCAGCCUCCCGAGUAGCUGGGACUACAGGCAUACACCACCACGCUUGGCUAAUUUUUUUAUUUUUAUUAGAGACGGGGUCUCACCAUGUUGGCCAGGCGGGAGUACAGUGGUGUAAUCACAGCUCGCUGCAGCCUCGAACUCCUGGACUCAAGUGAUCCUGCUGCCUCAGCCUCCCAAAGUGCUGGGGUUACAGGCAUCAGCCACCGUGCCCCAGUAACUAGCUCUUUAUGAGCCUAUCUUCCCAAGAGACGGGAUCCAUGAGUCUUUUCAAAUCAAAGGUGAGAACAAGCCAGUCAGGUGAGUGUGAGGUGAGGUUCCAGACAGCGGGAACUGCAAGCACAAAGGAUCUUGAUUUGUUUGAAGUCCCAGGGAAGGCUGAUGGGCCAGCAGGUAGUGAGAGAGGUAGAGAGAGUGCCAUGAGAUGAAGCUGGAGAUCUGUAGCAGGGGUGGGAAAUUGCUGGAAAAGCUGUUUCUGCACUUUGAACAGGAGAAAAAUGGAUUGAAUUGAUUUACCUAUUUUUUGUUGUUGAUGUUAAUAGUAUUUACAUAACUGGCUAUGUAAAUAUUCAAUGUUGGCCAGGCACGGUGACUCACACCUGUAAUCCCAGGAUUACUUUGGGAGGCCGAGGCAGGUGGAUCACUUGAGAUCAGGAGUUCCAGACCAGCCUGGCCAACAUGGUGAAACCCUGUUUCUACUGAAAAUACAAAAAGUAGUCAGGCAUGGUGGUGUCUGCCUGUAAUCCCAGCUACUCGGGAGGCUGAGGCGGGAGAAUCGCUUGAACCUAGGAGGCACAGGUUGCAGUGACCCGCCAUCAUGCCACUGCACUCCAGCCUGGGCAACACCGUGAGACUCU